CUAGAUCCCAAAUGCUUCUUAUUGGAAAUGUGGUGGAUUAAGGGUUUGUUUUCUACAUUAAUUAUAUUUCCACAAGAGGGCCCUGAAUUUAAAUGUUAAAAAGAACACACUAAAUGUUAAUAUAUUACAUGAGAUUGUUCCCUUAUUUACAAAAGCAUGAAUAACGUUAUAUGUGCAACAGUUACAUAGGUCACUUUUUAAUGAAGCUAACCAAUGCCUCAUAUACAUAAUUAUACAU